rnacentral:rRNA from 1 species
UACGUAGGGUGCAAGCGUUGUCCGGAAUUAUUGGGCGUAAAGAGCUCGUAGGCGGUCUGUCGCGUCUGCUGUGAAAACCUAGGGCUUAACUCUGGGCGUGCAGUGGGUACGGGCAGGCUAGAGUGCGGUAGGGGGAGACUGGAAUUCCUGGUGUAGCGGUGAAAUGCGCAGAUAUCAGGAGGAACACCGGUGGCGAAGGCGGGUCUCUGGGCCGAAACUGACGCUGAGGAGCGAAAGCGUGGGGAGCGAACAGG